rnacentral:rRNA from 1 species
UACGUAGGGUGCGAGCGUUGUCCGGAAUUAUUGGGCGUAAAGAGCUCGUAGGCGGCUUGUCGCGUCGGAUGUGAAAGCCCGGGGCUUAACUCCGGGUCUGCAUUCGAUACGGGCAGGCUAGAGUUCGGUAGGGGAGACUGGAAUUCCUGGUGUAGCGGUGAAAUGCGCAGAUAUCAGGAGGAACACCAGUAGCGAAGGCGACACUCUGGGCCGGUACUGACGCUGAGGAGCGAAAGCGUGGGGAGCAAACAGG